GCAGUCGCCACGGUAAUACAGAGGGUGCGAGCGUUAAUCGGAUUUACUGGGCGUAAAGCGUGCGUAGGCGGCUAAUUGAGUCGGAUGUGAAAUCCCCGAGCUUAACUUGGGAAUUGCAUUCGAUACUGGUUAGCUAGAGUGUGGGAGAGGAUGGUAGAAUUCCAGGUGUAGCGGUGAAAUGCGUAGAGAUCUGGAGGAAUACCGAUGGCGAAGGCAGCCAUCUGGCCUAACACUGACGCUGAGGUACGAAAGCAUGGGGAGCAAACAGGAUUAGAUACCCGAGUAGUCCCUGUCUCUUAUAC
rnacentral:rRNA from 1 species